UAAUUGUGUUAAAAUAAAUGUUGUAGUGCAAUCUUUAAUGAUAUACUGAACAAAAAAACGCUUCUUGAGCUUGAAAUUGCUUCUUCAUCAUGUACCAUGCAAAAAUGAUGGUAUGAUUUUAAAAAUUCUCCCUGGGUCUUGAGAUUUUGUAUUUCUGUACAAGAUGUUUACAAGGGCAGAAGAGGUUAGGAAACUGUGCACAUCCCCUUUAAUACUGGGCUCCUUCAUUUUCCCCACCACAAACCUUCAUUUCUUCAUCUCCUUUCUGUGAGGAAGACAGACGUUGCUCAACUAAGAAAGCUCUAAUUAAAUUAAGAUGUGCCCUUUCGGUUUCGGGCCAACUUCCUUUACAGCCUGGUCUUCAUACCAACCAGAGAAAACAUCGCUGUCCGCCCAGCGCUGACGAGCAUGAGCUGCGAGACUGGGAAAGAGGAAGUGGAGACAGGGGAUGGGCAGGUCCUCUAACGGGACCAGCUUUGUCUGAAGGAGUAACGGUUGCUACAGUUUUGAGAAACAUGAAUUUAUCAAGGCAAAUAAUACAGCAUUCACACAAACAAUGAUGGGGUUUGAUUUAGGCUCAAGAAGUCGGGACUCUGCGUUGAGUCGAGCUCCCAGGACCGCCCACGGUUAUCUCUGCCUACGUGCACACGUGACCCGUGUGUGCUCCACACACGCACAGGAGUUGUUUCAUUUCCUUCUUGCAUUUGUGUGGGUGUGUUUAAUUACACUUUACAUCAAUGUGAGAAGCAGCGGGGCAGCGUACAUUUGCCAUCAUCUCUACUUCCCGGCUCUGGGGUUCUGGGUGAGCUCUUCGUCCCAUCUGGGCCCGAUUUCUUCAUCUGUAAGGUCAACAAGUUUCUGGGGUCUGUGGCUCCCCUCAAGUUAAUGCUGUAAAUGACAUUGUUGAGCUGUCUUUUCCAGUCUACGAAGAAGCUCCGUAUUCCAUGUCGUUUCCUCCUCGAUGCAAUCCCGGGAGUUGGCAAAGCAGCGGGAAGCGGUCCUACCGCGUCUGUGAAGAACCGAAAGAGCACUUUCUGAGUGCUGUCUGCAGCCUGCGCUGCACAUGAGAGCCACCUGGGGGGCCUUUUCCUGUCCGGUGUCCAGCCACACACCUGACCAGUUACAUCGCCAGUGGCAGUGAGGCUGGGGACCUCUGCAUCAGAGCCUUGGUUCUGACGAUAAAUACAACUGGAGCCUUCUGAGCUUUAACAUCCAUCUCCCAAACCCCUACGAGAUAAGCGAGAUGCUUUCCAACUGAAGCCGUUCUCAAUUGAUGAGCGGGGCCCACCAAAGAACGUGCAGGUAGUUCCAGGGCCACCUAUCAAUUUGCAGGUCAGACUGACCCAGAUCCCAUACUUAGAGGACAAUAACACAGAGGUUUUCCCAAUAUGGAUGUCAGCCCCCACCAUGGGACGGGCUGAGAAAGGCCUUCCGCCACCGUCUUCGGGAAGCCCCGGUCCCCAACCGCUCCCUCACUGGGGGUCCUCCGGCUCCUACUCCAGAGCUCAUCCUUAGAGAGACGCCUCGGGUGCACGUCAUCUGCGUUUCUGCUCACACCGUCACAAAGCCCCAGAUGAGGAAAUGAACACUGCUGCGAACACUGAACGAUGGAUUCCAAGCACAUCUCACCAAGAACACGCUUCACAGUAGCCAUGCAACAAAUGACUGUGCAUAAUCUAGGAACUACUUUGCUGUUUCUUUGGUAUGUGUGUUUGUUACUGAAAGGCUUCCAGCCCUGGUCUGAUGUCUACUUUGAAGAAACCUGGAUUAAGCAGGGGCACUUAUGAAGAAGUGGCAAAAGACAGUGGAUCUAACACGUAAGACAAGGAGAACAUGUUUAGUUAUAAAAAGUAAACCGAAAUGUCAAACUUUUCUAUUUCUCAUAUAGAUCAUACUUUAUCCUGUAAUGAUGCAAAAGUGUUGAUUCAUUUCUAGUGCAAAAAAAAAUGCCACUUUUAAAGUGGAAUAUUUUGAAAGGUGUGUUAAAAUUACUCUCAAAUCUCUUUUAGACACUGGCUGAUGAGCGUUUUCAUGGUAGAAGCUGGAGUUACCCCACCAACCUUGCUGAUGUGAGGUUUAUGAAAGCUUAUAGAAGCGAUGGCUCACUGGUGGCUUCAGUGCACGGAGUCCCAGCGUCAGAUACAAACGCUGGAUAAAUGGCUCACUGCCCUAAAGUGCCAUCUGAUGCCACCACCUGGAAUACAGCUGCUAAUUAGAAGCUUGGUGGAAACACAUGUUGGAGAAGAUAAAAGUAAAACACAAGGGCCAAGGGGGGGUGCUUGGAGUCCCGUUUCCUUAAACGCCGGUGUGAGGUCCUUCAGCAGUGCCUCGGACACCUGCCGUUGAGCAGGGUUCGUCUCUGAUGGGACUCCUCGACGUGAGUUGGCCUGAGGUGGGUGUUCCCGUCUGUGAAUGAAUUCCUGUGCAGAGCCAGUCAAACGCAGCCUGGAUGCCGUGUUUGCUCAAUGCCAACAGUGCUGUCAACAAGGCCUGGUGACGCCUGAAAGAUGCAAAUGGAAACCUCAUCUCUCACUUCUGGCUUUAGUCAGUGGCUGCCCACACUCGGAUUACCCCUUGGCAAGUGCUCUGGCGCAGAGGUGUUACUCUGUGGGAAACUUUGAUGACAGGCAUCAAACGGGCCAAAUGUUACCUCCAACAAGAAAGGGCGGGCAGGUAGAACGCAGUACUGUGGGCAGAGGGGGUCCCAGCUAUGUGUCAGGUCUUGGCUCACAUGUCAAUGACAACGGCCUUCUCAGCUGCCCCCUUGCCCUGUGGGACUCAGGUCUGCUUGUCAUCCUCUUCCACAGCACCCUCUGCUUUUCCUUCAGAGCACCCAGCACAAAUUGCAACCAGAAUGAGUUGUGAUCACCUGCACCAGUAGUGUCACCUCCAUGAGUUGCCCGACUGCAGGGGCUCGGGGUCUUGUCCGUUCUUUCUGCACUACUGUCUACACAACACAUGAGCACACGGAGGCCCUCCGGAGCUUCCUGGAGGAAGGCCCAGGGAUGCCUUGGACAAACCGCAUACCUCGAGAAACGUUGUGUCUUGCCAGUCCUAUUUCUGAGCCCUCAAUGACGGGAUUCUGUUCUUGAAAUGUAAGCAUUUGGUCAAGUUCCUUUCAGUAGUUCACCCUCAAAAUAGACUUUGUGUCAUUUGCUUCUAACACAGCCUUGGGCUUCGUGUAGCUGACUCGCAGGUAGGUCAACCACAGCCCCACAGGCAGCUGCCAUCCAUCGGUUCUCAUGGACGCUGGGCGUGGAGUUGUCAGUGAACGACAUCGACAGUAAUUUUCUCAUUUGUGCUGAGAGUUUGACUUCUUAAAAAACGUUAUUUUACUCACACUGGUAAUAUCAAAACGUGACGCAGCUCACAGCAUACUUCAUAAGGCUUACUUUUUAAUUCGAAACCUGCUUUAUGCAGACUAUAACGCUAGCAGCUUCGUGGCCUGCCCUUCUCGAACCCGCUUCCCAGCAGGAAGAUGCUCCAUCUGACCACGUGUCCUCUCCCAGGGGAGUCCAGGACCAGCUUUCCACUGACUCCAAGAUUUUGCCCAGAAAAGGGGCACAUUCACAACUGGACAAUUGUGACUACUUGAAGUUAAACAAGGGCAACACUUCUCAGCUCUGGGAUUGUUUCCAUUAUUUUUGGAAUGUAAUUUCUUGGGAAAAAAAUUUUAAUUCUGGCCACAAACCAUCCCCCAAACAAUAACUGCCUUUAAGAAGUACAGUUUUAAAGAGUAAUUUGGGGGGUUUUCUUUUCUGACAAGAGCUCAUUCCUGUCGUGCAAAUAGUCAUGGUGCCCUACCACUCACACUGAUAAAAUAUAUGUAUAACGUAGUAAAACAAGACGGGCUGGCCCCACGGCUGAGCGGUUAAGUUUAUGUGCUCUGCUUCGGAGGCCCGGGGUUUGCCAGUUCAGAUCCUGGGCGCAGACCUAUGCACCGCUCAUCAAGCUGUGCUGCGGCAGCAUCUCACGUAGAAGAGCUGGAACGACUUGCAACUAGGAUAUACAACUAAGUAGUGGGGCUUUGGGGAGAGAAUAAAAAAGAAAAGAAACAGAUUGGCAACAGAUGCCAGGGCCAAUCUUCCUCACCAAAAAAAAAGUAAAACAAGAGAGCCAGGAUCAACGAUUGAACAGCAAGGUCGAUGCAACUGAGAACAAAGUUUCAACGUUAGGAAAAAGGAAGCAACCUUAUAUAUCUGCUUUUUAUUCCAGGGAAAUGACCAUGGAUGAUUGUUGAGCAAGGAAUAUGUACGACAGUGGGGGCCCCCGCAGAGAAACCUACAGAGCCAGUUACUAUUGGAUCAUCCAGAAUAACGAGGGAGAAAAAAAUCUGCUAAACUUCUGAUCCAAUGGCUCUGUGUCCUGAGAUGACAUUUUUGUAGUUGGACUGUUUUCAGUGUACUAAGACUUAUGAUGGGUCUAAGUGGAAGAAACAAUGAUUUUUUCUUUUUUCACAGAAUAAAAAAAAAAAUGAUGAUAACGUACUGAGUUGUGCGAUAGGAUGCAUGUUAUCCACUCACAAGCCCUUACAGAAUCUGCCAGACUAAGGAGUGGGCGAGAUGGUCACCCGCAGGGAGAGAUUGGCAUGGAUGGAAAAGAAACUAAAGUGAAACUCUGUGGACUUGUCACACUGGGCAUCACAUGGUGUGUCUGAGCCAACGCUGGCCCGACAUCUGCAUCCGGCAGCCACUGGGUUCUCCACCUCCGAGCAAAGGCUGGUGAGCGCCUGCCAGAAGGAUGCUGAGGGAUCGAGCUGAGCGUUCUGUCUGCCUUUCACAGUAGAAAUCCACAAUGAGGCUGAGAAUGUUUAAAACAACUAAAAUAAGCAUGUAGGAAAGAACUAUACGUUUCAAUAAAAAGUGAUUUAGAGACAUUCUGUACCAGAAAUUCCUGUCCAAAAGAAACAGGAUACACGGAAAAGUGGAGCCCUACUGUUUACUUGGAGGAUGUUUAUUUGCUGUUGGUGACCUCUGCAGCCACAUGACAAGAAUUUAGGUUGUAAACCUGGGCACUUAAGCUGCAGUGCUGGGUGACCGAUUUUAAUUUGACCUUUAAAUCCCAAGAGCAAGAUCAGGUUGGCGUGUGGAAUGCAGCUGUGCGUGGGGAGUCCAAUCACUGUGGCCAUUUUAACCAUCAAGAUGAAUCGCUGCCCGAUGAUGCCUUCUGAAGUGAUCAAUAUCAAUUUUCAAGGCAGCUGAAACAUCCCCAUCAGCCAUACGGUGGCCGGGCUCAGUGUGCCACGUGGAUCCAGCUUCUCAGCUAAGGUGAAAUGGAGGAACACACAACUGCUCGGGGCAUCGCGGCCACGGAGGCGGGAAUCUGGGUCACAAGGAUCUUGCUCCGUAUGGUAGGUUUUCUAUGCCUGGGCCAUUUCCUUGGCUCACCUCUUUAUCUUCAUAAACACAGCUUAAGUGGGUCAGUUCUCAACCAUGGGAUGUGGAAAUCAAGCCUUCUCAUUUGUUCCAGACUCGUGCAGCAGAGCAACCAGGAGGCUGCACUGUGCAUGGGCAGUUGGGCUGUGUGUACAAGUGUGGGAGUGUGCUUGUGUGUGUAUGAAGGCGAGUGUGUAGGGUGUAAGAGUAUACACAGGAGUGUGAGUGAAUGUGAGAGUAGGUGUAUAUGAAUGUGUGAAUGUUUGUAUAUGAAUGUGUGUAUAUGAACGUAAGUGUGAGUGCUGAGUGUGAGUGUGCCCACGCGCUCUUGGAGAAGCCCGUGGUGGGGGAAGGGCUCAGCCCACGACACAGGCAGCAGAAUGACUUCUUGCACUGCAGUUAAUGCUCAGUGAUCUGAGGCUUGACUCCCAGUUAGCAAGAUGACCCAGGGUCCUUCCUCCUCUGCUCUGUCUGCCUUUCAGCAAUUUUGCUGCUAUUUGAUAUCUUCACAGGUAUGUUGAUGGAAGAAAAAGAAAGAAAUUAUUUCUGAGUAAGAUGGGGGAGUGGAAGUUGAACCUUUUGGCUAAAAUUAGGCGAGAAGCUUAUCAGCGGCUCAGCAUAAGAGCAAGAAGCUUAAGUGACUGGCUUUGCUUCUGCACCAGGUCAAGGAGCCCCUCUUUUUGGUUUCUCUAGCACAAAGGUUUGUCAAAUAAAUGUAUUUCUCUGCAUUUAAGCAGUUAUUAUUUCCCCUAACAUAGCAGACAAACAUUAACCCCAGAGCUGGCGCGAAAUAAGAAGGUUAUGAUGGAAUAGCACUUUGCGAGGGGAGCACUUGCACCUACGGCACAGCGGAUGGAAGCAUCUAUCUUCCAGGACGGCAACUUCAGCCAC